GAUGAACGCUGGCGGCGUGCCUAAUACAUGCAAGUCGAGCGAACAGACGAGGAGCUUGCUCCUCUGACGUUAGCGGCGGACGGGUGAGUAACACGUGGAUAACCUACCUAUAAGACUGAGAUAACUUCGGGAAACCGGAGCUAAUACCGAAUAAUAUAUUGAACCGCAUGGUUCAAUAGUGAAAGACGGUUUUGCUGUCACUUAUAGAUGGAUCCGCGCCGCAUUAGCUAGUUGGUAAGGUACCGGCUUACCAAGGCGACGAUGCGUAGCCGACCUGAGAGGGUGAUCGGCCACACUGGAACUGAGAGACGGUCCAGAAUCCUACGGGAGGCAGCAGUAGGGAAUCUUCCGCAAUGGGCGAAAGCCUGACGGAGCAACGGCGCGUGAGUGAUGAAGGUCUUCGGAUCGUAAAACUCUGUUAUUAGGGAAGAAAAAAUGUGUAAGUAACUAUGCACGUCUUGACGGUACCUAAUCAGAAAGCCACGGCUAACUACGUG
rnacentral:rRNA from 1 species